AGAACAGUAGAUCAACUUCGGUUUUCGCCUGCUUCUGCUCCGACGGAAGAACAGCAUCGUACAAUUGUUCAGGCAGCCUUGGGAAGAAGAAGAAGAAGAAACUGAAAGGGACAGUCGCUGGUCUUACACUUGGAUGCUUCACUCUGCUAUGCCUAUUCCUUUGUGUCAAUAUUCUACGUUCCAGAAAACACCAUGAAAAGAAUGAGCAGGGUGUCGAAGGCUUCCUACUUCGAUAUGGUUCCUUGGUCCCAAAGAGAUACAAGUACUCAGAAAUAAAGAGAAUGACCAAUUCCUUCAGUAACAAACUAGGGCAAG